rnacentral:tRNA from 3 species
GGGGGACUGGUCCAACGGCUAGGAUGGCGGUCUCCAAAACCGCAGGUUGGGGUUCGAUUCCCUGGUCCCCCG